GUGGGGAAUUUUGGACAAUGGGCGCAAGCCUGAUCCAGCAAUGCCGCGUGCAGGAAGAAGGCCUUCGGGUUGUAAACUGCUUUUGUACGGAACGAAACGGUCCGGGUUAAUACCCUGGGCUAAUGACGGUACCGUAAGAAUAAGCACCGGCUAACUACGUGCCAGCAGCCGCGGUAAUACGUAGGGUGCAAGCGUUAAUCGGAAUUACUGGGCGUAAAGCGUGCGCAGGCGGUUUUGUAAGACAGGCGUGAAAUCCCCGGGCUCAACCUGGGAAUUGCGCUUGUGACUGGAAGGCUGGAGUGCGGCAGAGGGGGAUGGAAUUCCGCGUGUAGCAGUGAAAUGCGUAGAUAUGCGGAGGAACACCGAUGGCGAAGGCAAUCCCCUGGGCCUGCACUGACGCUCAUGCACGAAAGCGUGGGGAGCAAACAGGAUUAGAUACCCUUGUAGUCC
rnacentral:rRNA from 1 species